rnacentral:rRNA from 1 species
UACGUAGGGUGCAAGCGUUGUCCGGAAUUAUUGGGCGUAAAGAGCUCGUAGGCGGUCUGUCGCGUCGGCUGUGAAAACUCGGGGCUCAACUCCGAGCUUGCAGUCGAUACGGGCAGGCUAGAGUUCGGCAGGGGAGACUGGAAUUCCUGGUGUAGCGGUGAAAUGCGCAGAUAUCAGGAGGAACACCGGUGGCGAAGGCGGGUCUCGUGGGCCGAUACUGACGCUGAGGAGCGAAAGCGUGGGGAGCGAACAGG